UUUUCCGUAGUACAGUGGUCAUUACGUGCGCCACACAAACGCAUGGACCCAGUUCGAAACAGGGCGAAAAUU